rnacentral:rRNA from 1 species
UCAAAAACAUGUCCUUAAGAUUAUAAUUUAAGGUUUGGCCUGCCCGAUGAAACGUUGAAUGGCCGCGGUAUUUUGACCGUGCUAAGGUAGCAUAAUAAUUAGUUUAUUGAUUGUAAGCUUGAAUGAAGGGCUGGAUGAAAAAAUGGCUGUCUUUUUUUUAUUUUUAUAAUUUUACUUUUAAGUUAAAAGGCUUGAAUUUUUUUGUGGGACGAGAAGACCCUAUAGAGUUUUAUAUCUUUACUAUUUUAGCAUGUGAAGGAUUAAUUUAUUUAGAUUUGUGGAGAUAUUUAGUUGGGGCGAUUUAUAAAUUAAUAUAACUUUUUAUUAUUAAUACACUAAUGGGUGAUUUUUUGAUCCUUUUUUACGAUUAGAAGAUAAAAUUACCUUAGGGAUAACAGCGUAAUUUUCUUUGAGAGUUCUUAUCGAUAGGAGAGAUUGCGACCUCGAUGUUGGAUUAAAAAUUUAAUUUUGGUGCAGAAGCUGAAAUUUAGGGUCUGUUCGACCCCUUAGUUUUUACAUGAUCUGA